CCCUUAGAUGUUCUGGGCUGCACGCGCGCGACAAUGACGUUUGCAACGAGAUUGCGAGGCCGUCAGGUCGAGCUGAUCUUGCAAGCUGCGUCGUGAUAGGGACAGUCGAUUGCAAUUAUUCGACUCGAACGAGGAAUUCCUUGUAAUCGCGCAUCAUCAGUGCGCGCUGAUUACGUCCCUGCCCUUUGUACACACCGCCCGUCGCACCUACCGAUUGGAUGGUCCGGUGAAGCCUCGGGAUUGUGGUUCUUGCCGCUUUAUUGUGGCGUGACCGCGAGAACUUGUCUAAACCUUAUCAUCUAGAGGAAGGUGAAGUCGUAACA
rnacentral:rRNA from 1 species